GUGCUCACUUUGACAGCACAUAUAUUAAAGCUGGAAUGAUACAGAGAAGAUUAGCAUGGCCCCUGCCUAAGGAUGAUACACAAAUUCGUGAAGCAUUCCAUAUUUUA